rnacentral:rRNA from 1 species
AGCUAAUACCGGAUAAUAUUUUGAACCGCAUGGUUCAAAAGUGAAAGACGGUCUUGCUGUCACUUAUAGAUGGAUCCGCGCUGCAUUAGCUAGUUGGUAAGGUAACGGCUUACCAAGGCAACGAUGCAUAGCCGACCUGAGAGGGUGAUCGGCCACACUGGAACUGAGACACGGUCCAGACUCCUACGGGAGGGCGAGCAGGAG